AGGAGCUUGCUUCUCCGGAUGAGUUGCGAACGGGUGAGUAACGCGUAGGUAACCUGCCUGGUAGCGGGGGAUAACUAUUGGAAACGAUAGCUAAUACCGCAUAACAGUAGAUAUUGCAUGAUAUCUGCUUGAAAGGUGCAAUUGCAUCACUACCAGAUGGACCUGCGUUGUAUUAGCUAGUUGGUGGGGUAACGGCUCACCAAGGCGACGGUACAUAGCCGACCUGAGAGGGUGAUCGGCCACACUGGGACUGAGACACGGCCCAGACUCCUACGGGAGGCAGCAGUAGGGAAUCUUCGGCAAUGGACGGAAGUCUGACCGAGCAACGCCGCGUGAGUGAAGAAGGUUUUCGGAUCGUAAGGCUCUGUUGUAAGAGAAGAACGAGUGUGAGAGUGGAAAGUUCACACUGUGACGGUAUCUUACCAGAAGGGGACGGCUAACUACGUGCCAGCAGCCGCGGUAAUACGUAGGUCCCGAGCGUUGUCCGGAUUUAUUGGGCGUAAAGCGAGCGCAGGCGGUUAGAUAAGUCUGAAGUUGAAGGCUGUGGCUUAACCAUAGUACGCUUUGGAAACUGUUUAACUUGAGUGCAAGAGGGGAGAGUGGAAUUCCAUGUGUAGCGGUGAAAUGCGUAGAUAUAUGGAGGAACACCGGUGGCGAGAGCGGCUCUCUGGCUUGUAACUGACGCUGAGGCUCGAAAGCGUGGGGAGCAAACAGGAUUAGAUAACCUGGUAGUCCACGCCGUAAACGAUGAGUGCUAGGUGUUAGACCCUUUC
rnacentral:rRNA from 1 species